CAUCGCGCCCUUCUUGUAGAGGCAGCAGCUUGGUGAGCUUGGGACAUCCCACCACAUAAAUUUCUUCCAACGAAUGCCAAUCCAGUUGCAGUUGGUCAGCUCUUCUUUGUCCUCUUCCCCCACAGAUACGCACCAGUUCUGUCUAUUACGCUGAGAAAGACAAGAUUGGGGAGACCCCCCUUCAUCUGCACGGAUGAGAAAACAGUCUUCUCCAAGCCAUGACAGUUCCAAAGAUUCACUUUUCUCAAGUUUUGGAGUGUUACCACCAUCCCCAUCACCCAAAUACUCUUCAUGUAUAGUAGAUUACGAAGAAUCAGGUGUUCGAGUUUGGAGAGUAGUCCAUCUUGUUGCAGCAGAGUCGGUCCAGCAAACACAUGCUCUAAUCCGCUACAUCUCCGCACGUUGACUUGUUUUAGGUUCUCCAUUCUUGGCAAUAAGCUAGAUGGAAGUAAAUGGUUUAGCAUUGGGCAGCCACGCACAUUCAAGAACAUUAGUUUCUGAAAACAUGUGGCAGGAAGUGAUCCCUCAUCAUCAGACACCACUUUCUCUAGCUUUUUAAGAUGUGUACAUUCUCCGCAGAAUCGGCUGGUGGCGAGGAAAGAAUGGAUACAAAACAAAUCAAUAUAUAAAAAAUUACACUAUAGAACUGCCCUCAUAUUUUGUUUUUUAUGCUGCUUGAUGAGUGUUUGAUGAAAUACAUGUGAAGUGUUGUUACUGUUUUGCAUUAUGUGAGAGAUUGAAGAUGCAUUAUAUGUGUUUGAGAAAAUGUCUCACAU